rnacentral:rRNA from 1 species
GACGAACGCUGGCGGCGUGCUUAACACAUGCAAGUCGUACGGUAAGGCCCUUUCGGGGGUACACGAGUGGCGAACGGGUGAGUAACACGUGAGUAACCUGCCCACAACUUUGGGAUAACGCUAGGAAACUGGUGCUAAUACUGGAUAUGUGCUCCUGCUGCAUGGUGGGGGUUGGAAAGCUCCGGCGGUUGUGGAUGGACUCGCGGCCUAUCAGCUUGUUGGUGGGGUAGUGGCCUACCAAGGCGGCGACGGGUAGCCGGCCUGAGAGGGUGACCGGCCACAUUGGGACUGAGAUACGGCCCAGACUCCUACGGGAGGCAGCAGUGGGGAAUAUUGCACAAUGGGCGCAAGCCUGAUGCAGCAACGCCGCGUGCGGGAUAACGGCCUUCGGGUUGGAAACCGCUUUCAGCAGGGACGAAGCUUUUUGUGACGGUACCUGCAGAAGAAGCACCGGCUAACUACGUG